UGGGGAAUAUUGGACAAUGGGCGAAAGCCUGAUCCGAGCCAUGCCGCGUGUGUGAAGAAGGUCUUCGGAUUGUAAAGCACUUUAAGUUGGGAGGAAGGGCUGUCGGCUAAUACCCUGCAGUUUUGACGUUACCAACAGAAUAAGCACCGGCUAACUUCGUGCC
rnacentral:rRNA from 1 species